rnacentral:rRNA from 1 species
UACGGGGGGGGCAAGCGUUGUUCGGAAUUACUGGGCGUAAAGGGCUCGUAGGCGGCCAACUAAGUCAGACGUGAAAUCCCUCAGCUUAACUGGGGAACUGCGUGUGAUACUGGAUGGCUUGGAUUUGGGAGAGGGAUGCGGAAUUCCAGGUGUAGCGGUGAAAUGCGUAGAUAUCUGGAGGAACACCGGUGGCGAAGGCGGCAUCCUGGACCAAUAUUGACGCUGAGGAGCGAAAGCCAGGGGAGCAAAGCGGGG